AAUUUCAGUUAAAAAAGUCAUGAACAUAAAAGUUGUAGAACUCAUCAAGAUGUACAACUUUUGUUUUGGUCAUUUCUUCAUCUGACAAAGUGAUACUAACAUUAUUCAUAACAAAAUUUACGUAUCUCUCUUAUAAUUUAUAGAACCAGAUGAGAAAUAUAUAAAUUUCGUAAAUAAUGUUACUAUUAUUUUAUCGGAUGAAGAAAUGACCAAAAUAAAAGUUAUAAAUCUUGAUGAGUUAUACAACUUUGUUUUUAUGACUUUUUCAACUGAAAUC
rnacentral:pre_miRNA from 1 species